rnacentral:rRNA from 1 species
GAUGAACGCUGGCGGCGUGCCUAAUACAUGCCAGUCGAGCGAACAGACGAGGAGCUUGCUCCUCUGACGUUAGCGGCGGACGGGUGAGUAACACGUGGAUAACCUACCUAUAAGACUGGGAUAACUUCGGGAAACCGGCGCUAAUACCGGAUAAUAUAUUGAACCGCAUGGUUCACUAGUGAAAGACGGUUUUGCUGUCACUUAUAGAUGGAUCAGCGCCGCAUUAGCUAGUUGGUAAGGUAACGGCUUACCAAGGCAACGAUGCGAAGCCGACCUGAGCGGGUGAUCGGCCACACGGGAACUGAGACACGGUCCAGACUCCGACGGGAGGCAGCAGUAGGGAAUCUUCCGCAAUGGACGAAAGCCUGACGGAGCAACGCCGCGUGAGUGAUGAAGGUCUUCGGAUCGUAAAACUCUGUUAUUAGGGAAGAACAAAUGUGUAAGUAACUAUGCACGUCUUGACGGUACCUAAUCAGAAAGCCACGGCUAACUACGUG